rnacentral:misc_RNA from 1 species
AAACUGCGAUAAGUAGUGUGAAUUGCAUUUAGUGAAUCAUCGAAUCUUUGAACGCACCCUGCACUCACUGGUAUUUCGGUGAGUACGCCUGUUUCAGUAUCAUUGAAAACACACAAUCAAAACAUUUUCUUUGGUUUGAUUGGCUUUGGGUCUAUCAAAAAGUUUGGCUUGUUUCUUACAAGCCAAGCGGCCUGAAAUAUAUUGUCUGGCUAAUUGCAUCGUUGAUGAUCGCUAUUAGACUUUGGCUUUUUUAAAUGAACUGGAGGUUGAUUAACCAGUUUUAGCUUUAGUCAAAUGGUCAUUGUAAAAAAAAUCUCGAUCUUGGCUAGGUGUUUAUAGCCGAAAAUUUUUUUUUGGCUAUAACCGAAACCAAUAUAAUCACAUUUAGUUAUCGAUCUGAAAUCAGGUGGGACUACCCGCUGAACUUAAGC